UCUCUGUUAGUAUAUCGGAUAGUACACGCGCCUGUCACCUCGUCGGGGACUCAAACCCUGGUUUAGUGCGCGCGAAAGCAGGGUUCGACUCCCUGACAGAGAG